rnacentral:rRNA from 1 species
UCGAGAAUAUUCGACAAUGGGCGAAAGCCUGAUCGAGCGACGCCGCGUGCAGGAUGAAGGCCCUCGGGUUGUAAACUGCGGUAGUAGGGGAGGAACGCAAGUGACUGUACCCUACGGAAAGUGGUUGGUAACUACGUGCCAGCACCAGCGGUAAUACGUAGACCACAAGCGUUAUCCGGAUUUAUUGGGCGUAAAGAGCAUGUAGGAGGUCCGGUGCGUCUCUGGUUAAAGCCCACCGCCUAACGGUGGAAGUGCCAGAGAUACGAUCGGACUGGAGGAUGUGAGAGGUGCAUGGAACUCACGGUGUAGGGGUGAAAUCCGUUGAUAUCGUGGGGAACACCAAAGGCGAAGGCAGUGCACUGGUACAUUCCUGACUCUGAGAUGCGAAAGCGUGGGGAGCAAACAGGAUUAGAUACCCAUGUAGUCCCUGAGCGGGCUGGCAAGGCGCAU